ensembl:snRNA U2 U2 spliceosomal RNA
AUUGCUUCUCAGCCUUUUGGCUAAGAUCAAGUGUAGUACCUUGAGAAAUAAUUAGAUCUUUCUCUCUUACUGUAUUAAAAAAAAAACAGCCUUU